AACUCCUUUAUAAUGUAAAAGGAACCAAAUUUAGUGUGAAGCUAAACUUACUUUGAGCCUAGCUUAAGCGCUUGCUAAAUCCAGAAAGUGCUCGACACGUUACACUCGUUGUUUACCUGAUGGUCAAAACUGCACCGAGGCCGUUAUCACUGCUGUUCUCAUUGUAUAUACCAAAAGAAGAAGAGAUACCCAAAACAAUACUGAGCCAGGGAGUCAAACUUGGCAGCCUGACUUCAAAGCCGAUAUAUCUGUCUCCUAGCGUUACAAAAGUAGGUCAGGCUUGAAAAGGUACAUAAUGAGUGGGGUCUUAAUAUUUGUACAAACAAAAAUACUGUCUUUUCAAAAUGUACAGUGCUUGGUUAUUUCUGUUACAUAAUUGUAGAAGAUGCCGCUUGUGGCCAAGAAUCGUCUUUCUAGAUAAAAGCCUGUAAUGUUUUACAUAAAUCUGCAUAGGGAGAAAUCUCAGUGCUCCCUUAAUUAAUGGAAUUAUUUACUUAGUAACUGUCUACAUAAGAUAAUGUCAAAUACUCCCACGUAUAUAGUGGUGUUUGUAUGUCUGCGUGCUAAGUAUUGUUUGGGUGUAAAUUUCACUUGGGCUCCUGUCCCACACUGGUGGGCUUCCCUCGCUUUUACUUUUUCCCUUUUUUGGGGGGGAAUGGUUUAUAGUUGUAGUUCUUGUCAGAGAAUUUCCUCACUACUCUGUGUUAACUUUCCAUCCCUGUGACAAAGAACCAAGAUAAACACUUGUAAGGAGAAAGGUUUAUUUUGGCUCAGAGCUUCAGAGGUUUGGUCUCUUGUUGCGUGGCCUUGCUGCUUUGGUCCUGGAGCGGCACAGUACACCAUGGAGGGAGUGUGCGCCAGAGGUGGCAGAGGAGGCUUGUUCAACUCCUGGGAGCAGCGAAGUAGAGAGAGACAGGAAGUGUCUGGGGUUCCAAUACCCCUUUCAGGGCCACCGCCGGUUACCUAACUUCCACUAGACACCGCCUGUUAUAUGUUCCACCACCUCCUGUUAGGGCCAUGGCCUGCAGUCAAUCCCUUCCCCAAUCUUUGCCCCAGGAACCACUUUUGUGGAAGGCAGUUUUUCCAUGGAUCGGGGGUGAGGGCGGUGGUUUCAGUUUCAGAAAGAUUCAAAGGAGUAUACAACCUAGAUCACCCGUGGAGUUCAGAGUUGGGUUGGUGCUCCUGAGACUCACUGGCCUGGCAGGAGGCUGAGCUCAGGUGCUAAUGGGCAAUGUGAAGCAGCUGUAAGUACAGAUGGCGCUCAGCUCCCUUGUUGGCUGUGCACCUUUAAAAGUGGAAACUGUAACAUAAUGUAUAAUUCCUCCCAUAUACACACGGGGAAGGAAAUUCAGAUGCUGGGUAGCAAAAAAUAAUAAUACUGUAAUUUCUGUUUGAGUACCAAAUGAAAGAGGUGGGUUGGGGAGCCCUGCUUGUCCCUGUGCCACUGGGGACAUUUCAAAUCCAAAUAUAGUGUGUGCUAUUACAAUCUGCUUGUUUCUUGGAAAAUCUUUUAAGACCUCUUGUGGGGGUUGAAUUUAGUUGCCUUCCUCUUACUGCCUCCCAAGAUACACUUUAGGCUUUUAUUUUUUAGCAGUCGUUAUUAUAAAGCCAAUGAAUUAUAAGUAAUAAAUAUGGGAAGGUUAAAAAGAAUCUGGGAUCUUAUAAUAGUGUUUUCAGUAUCAUAGUUCUUGACGCCUUUCUGCUUCCCUCUGACCUUUGCUUUUGUUUUUUUCCCUGAAGUUGUAAUCCAGACAGAAAACAUUCUUCCUUGUGUCAAGUAGAAAACACCUACUGGCUUUGAUAGCCCUUUCCCUUCGUACAUACAUUAUUUCAUAGUCUAGAAAGGGUGAAGUCCCACUUAUUGAAUUGAUGUUUUAUGAAAUAAGGUAAAUCCCUUUUUGUGGUUUCCAGUAGCAAAUGGGAAAGGAUUGAGGAUUCUCUAACUUUUACUCGUAUUUUAAUUGACUUUAUGAUUGAAACUAAACUUCCAGAAAAUAAACUGAGGGAAUAGGCCAGUGGUUGCAAAUUCAAAUGCCCAAGAAAGAAGAACCAUAAACAUGAGUAUCAGGAUGAAUGAAUUACAGCAAGUGGUAGUGGGAAUAGGGUCAAACCCGAGGUAAAUGCCCAGUGUGAAAGAAUUAGAAGAAAAAUAGCACCAAUCCCAACUUGUUUAGUAGAAAAGGCUAUGAAUUUACUGUUUUGGGUAUAGCUAUACUGAUAAAUUUAUUAAAAUCCACGAGAAUUUUAUUUUUUAAACUGGGCCAUUUUAAUGUUCUUACAAUUUAAUAAAUCUCUUGAUGACUGCAGUUACAAAAGCUGUGGUAGUAUUCACAGUAAUGGUGGUUUUCCUCAUUGGUCUGUAACCUUCAAUAAGUGUAAGAAGUUAUUGUAUGAAACAUUUGUCAAACCAGUAAGACUGCAUUGAUGCAUCCAUCAUUCUCAGGAUUGUUGGUUACCUGGGCAUAUUUACCCCAGAUAACCUUGCCUCCUUGUGUCACAAGGCCGAACUCACUCACGUUCACUUCAAUUACUGUACCUUUGGUAAUAACACCCAAAGUUGUACAUAGUGGUGAUGAAGGAUUUUUUUCACACCAAGUAUUGGCAGGCAAAAGGUGGCUUUCAGUUCAGGAUGUGUUACAUGGGCCUUCUUGAAACGUAAGCCCAUUGGCCUAAUGAACCUUUCGUAUAUUGGUGGUUUCCUUGUAAAGCCAUCUCCAACAAAGCAGACUUUAGUAACCAUCUUCUUCCAUGCCUUCUUUUUUCUCUUUCCAGUUUGAAUAACUUUCAAUACUUCUGUCUCUCCCUAUGCACGAACUUUGGGCAGAGGGACUUCCCAUUUUCCUGCCUUUUCUUUUCUUUUUUGUUUAAUCAUGUUGGAAAGUACUUUUGCCUGAGACUGUUCCUCUCUGUCUAGCAGAUAGGCAGGUACUGCUCCCUGAGGAGUUUUUUCAUCAUUCUUUUGUUUGGUGUUUCUCUUUUCAUGCAUCUUGACAGUCUUCUUCAUUUGUAUUUUCUCGGCAUGGCGCUGUUUAUGGUAGAGCUUAGCCUUCAAGCCAAUCAUUUUUUUUUUGCCUUCUUUGAACGUUCAUGAGCCUCUCAACUUUCCUUCUUUCUCUUUUUCUCAUGGUAAUCCAAAUGAUAACUGUAACGUUUACGGUGUAAUUCAAUAUAUUCAUUUUGUGGCAUGGUGAUAGCUGCAGAGCCACCGGGGGCGGCCUCAGGCACGGGAAGAAAAGUUUCAACUUUGGGGUCUCCGAAUGUAUUUUUUUUAAUGUAAGUCACUAGGCAGUAGAUUUGGUACUGAAAAGAAAUUAUAGUAUUAUUAUUUUUUGCUACCCAGCAUCUGAAUUUCCUUCUUUGUGUGUAUAUGGGAAGAAUUAAUCCAUUAUGUUAAAGUUUCCACUUUAAAAACCAGGGUGUAAUUUCUCCUUCUUAUCCCACAAAGCCAGAUGUUAGGUACAUAAUUGAGAAUUGAACAGGUAGGUAGAUUCUCCCUGCAGCCUGCCUCCUAGGCCUAGCAGUGGUAGUGAACCUCGGGCACGUGUGCUGCAGUUGGCUGUUUGUUAUCAUUGAAAGCUCUUCAAGGUUCUCCCUCACUAGCCUAGGGAUUUUAAUCUCGAAUGAAACAAAGAGGCACAAUUCAGGAGUUCUUCAGGGCACUGGAAGGAUGUAUGUAUUGCAAGUGCACCGGUGGAGAGCCAGUGGCAGGACCCGUACCAGACCUUAGUUUCAUUCUUCACUAUUAUCUCUUGUUUUUUGUUUCCUAAUCCUGAUUGUCAGGUUCUUACAGAUUCAAAGAGUAGAUUCCUUUUCUACUUAGAGUUAGUUUUAGUUCUUUGCAGCCAAGAAUUGUCAGUGGGCUGAAUUGGACCCCUAGAAUUCAUAUGUUGAAGCUGUAACACCUGUUAUCUCAGAAUGUGGAUAUCUUUACAGAUAGGGCAUUGACACACAAAGAGACACAAGGGAUGUAUGGGACGAAGGAAGACAGACAAAUGAAGACAUGCCAGAAGGUGGCCAGUUGCAAGCCAAGGAGAGAAGAAGCCAGGCCAUGGUCUUAGACUUCUAGUCUCCAGAGCUACAAGAAAAUGAACUCCUGUUGUUUUAAGCUAGACAGUCUGGGUUACUUUGUUGUGGUAGCCUCUAGCAAACUAAUAAAGGCUCUGAUUAAGGACCCAAUUAGGCUGUAGGUGUUGCUACUAUGAUGGGCAGAGCCAAGACUACUAGUUUAUCUAAAUACGUUCUCAUCUUUGGCUGUAUUUAUCUGUACAUAGAAAUUAAUGACCUGUUUUAUUGGCUGAAGCAGUACAUAUUAGAAAGUAUUUUGAUUUAAAUACUGAAUGCUUCAAAGUGCUUCUGAUAUGCAGUGUCCUUUAAGAAAAUAUUCCCUGCAAAGCAAACUUUUACAAAAGACUUGUCAGUGUUUCAGUAUGGCAUAUGAAAUCUCUUUUAACUUGUCAGUUUGAAUUUCAAUACUAUAACCUUCACUUCAACCUAUACUGACAGGCAGUUUUCUUAAGUGGGUGACUUACCUGUUUCUGUUGGAAAUAUUUCUAGGUGCUGUUAUGAUAAUUAUUAUGGCAUUUGUCAAGGAAUCAAGAUGUACAAUUUCCAAAUAAUUUUUUCUUCACUGACGCUAAAACCAUUUUCUAUGGUGCUCAUCAAUCAUGUCAUUUCCCUAGUAAUAGCUUUUUGUGGUUUCCCGUGUCCCUGUGAAUUUAGUACAAGGGAUUCUACACUUUCCUUACCAUUCAUGCCUGAUUUUUAUCUUCUGGUAUUUCAUGUAAGGCCGUCUUUCUUACUCACCUCUUCCACCACCACCCACUACUUUCGCGUGCUUUAUGCCUUUUCCUAGUCUUCUGUAUGUUACACCAAAGAAAAACUAAUAUCUACCAUCUAUCUUGGUACCGUAAUGAGAAACCUUGGUGAACAAUUGGAUUCUCCUUUAAUAUCCAAGUCCAGUCUAGUCUUAAUGAUUCUACCUCUUAAGUAUUUCCUUUUUCUGUACUGGGCAUACUUUUUGAGACAGGCUCAUGUAGCCCACACUGACCUGGAACCCAUGAUUUUCUGCUUUAGCCUCCCAAGUGCUUGACAUUACAAGGGUGUUCUACGUCUUCUGGCAGCAUUAUUAUUAUUAUUAUAAUUUUUUUAUUAUUUUGGGAAUAGAAAUCAGGAUCUCAUGGAUGCUAGGCAAGGGAUCUAUCACUGAGCUAUAUUUUUAGCUCACUUAAGAAUCUUUCAAAUUAUUCUCUUCCUACUUCACUCCCUUAUUUCAGGGCCACAUCUUUUGCUUAGACUAUUACAAGUAGCUCUGACAUUUUUCUUUUUCCUUUUUCUUCACAAUGCACUACUCUGAAAGUAAGUUCUUUAAUAUGAAUUUGAUGGUGUCACUGCAUCUCUUAGAUGUCUUUAAAGUCUUCUCAUGUACAUGUAUACAGAUUUUUAUUUUACAGUAAUGAAUACACUUUUUGUUACAUUGAUGAUUAUUCCAUAAAGUAGUGUCAAUUUUUCUUAUUACAAGCAUCAAUCUUUUCCAUAUAUCUUAGAAGUCAGAAUCUAAACACUAUAAGAAAAAUUUCCAUUCUCAAUGAGCUUGUGAACUGUCUUGAUGAUUAUGUCUUAUUCCUAUUGUCCAUAAAAACUUGUAUUUUUUUUAAGUAAAGUAGUUGCUUAAUGAACAUUUGCCAUACUCAUAUAGAAGAGUUCAGCAAGUUGUCCUAGGAGCUUCUAUUAAGUGGAAUGAUGAUGUCUUUAUGAUUCCUGAUUCAUGAAAAUCAUGUAAUGUUUUCAUUUUAAGCUUUCAUUUGUUCUUAAAAAUAGCUUGCUACAAUUAUUCAGCUAGCACAUCACCAAAAUAAAUGGGGAAAAAAACCAGUAAUAGAACAUUUCAUGUCACUAAAAACCUUUUAUAUGUAUUCAGAAUGGUGUGGGGGUAUUUAUGUAACAGUCAUAUUAGAAACGGUGAAAAUUAUCCGUGAAAUUAUCUAUCUAUCUAUCUAUAUUAAGAAGCCAGGAUUUGUUCCCAUUUUACAGAUUAGAAAACAAACUCAGAGGUCAAAUGAUCUUCCUGCUCCUGGUCUCACUCAGUAAGUGACCCAGCUACAGGUGGGACUGAGGACUUCUGACUGCAGCACCUUAGCAUCCACUAUCUGCUCCUCUGCCUGGGCCCAGCAUGGAGACCCUGAGGAGACCCUGAGGCCAGAGCUGCUUCUCCAAAUAGGCAUGCUAAGGAAAGUUUUGUUGUUGUUGUUGUUGUUUGAGACAGGGUCUUGCUGUGUAGUUCAGACUGGCCUUGAACUCACUAUGUAGCCUAAAGUGACCUCAAACUCAUGAUGAUCCUCCUGCCUCAGCCUUCCAAGCACCAGGAUUACAGGUGUGCUCCACCACGCCCCACAGAAGUGUUUUAGUCUCAUUCUUCUGACAGUAAAUAUUCAGCAGGCCCCAGGUGCAUAGUAUUGUCAUUCAGAAGUCUGCUAUUAGGAAGGUAAACUCACAGUGGAGACUGACAAUGGAAUAGGCAAAGACAGGACACCGUGAUCUCUGCCAGCUGCUCCUGGUCCGUGUCCAACACUGCAGGCUUCUUCUGUCCCAGCUGUCGAGCUUCCAUUUGAGAGGAACCAGCAGUGGGGCUGACCGGAUGCUACAAAAAGCUGCCCUCUUUCAAGGAACAUAGGAAGGGUUGCUGGAGAGUAGAAGAGAAGGAUGACAGAGGGAGAAGGAGCCAGAUUGCAUAGGGCCGUGUAAGCCCGGGUGAAAAGUUGGGGUUUUGCUCCAAAAGUGAGGGGAAGCCUUGGAAGGGAAUAACAUGACCUGUUUUACAUUGUUAAAAGAUCAGCCAGCUGUGUAGAAAAGCAGUUUAAGCAGACAACAAGAAACGGGGAGCCGACUGGGCACUGUGGCAGGACCAGGAUGGUAACGGAAGACAGAGAGGUGGUGGGCUCGGCCUGUCACGUGAAGCACAAGUGAAGGGGUUUCUGGGGUGUGGGUGAGGUGGUGCAUGGAGGGGUCACGAGAUGGGAGCAGCUUAGGACCACUUCAAGGUUGUCACUUGCUCUGACCUUCUAUACCACUGAGGAUGACUGGAGUAGAUCCUGCUUUUGCUCAAGAGACCAAGACUUGGUUUUUUGACAAAUAUAUUUUGCUUAGCCUCAAGUCCUCCUAGAGUCCUCAUCCCCUGGCCUCCCCUACCCAAGAAGUCCCCAAAUCUCAGAAUUCAAACUUCUGACCACCUAAUCCCUUAUUAAAUCUAUCCCUUCAACUCUGUCCCACAUGCCUCCAUCCCCAGUCUACUGUUCAUUAGCCUAGAGUUAGUAUUUAUGAACAAAGUACUGUAUAGGCAUCAUUUCUGUUUCCCUCCAGCCAACUUUGAUGGCAGAGACCAUGUCUUCUUCAUAUUUAUCCUCCAUGUCUAGUGCUGUGCUCACCGCAGUGCAGGCACUCACGUCAGUGAUGGACUGAAAAAAGGGCUCCUCAAGCAGGAUGUAAUCCCCUGAAAGAGAGAGCCCCACCUCAAGACCACAUGGUUCCUUCACAUAAUGUGAAGCCGAGUCAGAUAUGCAAUGUGUGAUUGAUUCCUAGAGCCCUUGCCUUCCCCAAAUAUAUUUCUGUAUUUCUGUUUGUUUGUUUUGUAUCGGGAAUCAAACUCAUGACCUUGCACUUGUGAGGCAGGCGGUGGCACCACUGAGCUAAAUCCUGGCCCAUUUCUGUACUUCCAGUUUGGUUUUGCACCGUAUUGCUUGGUCUCCACUUACAGCUGGUAGUUAAAGACUUUGACAAUUUUUUCCACUUCAUCCAAAAUGCAGGAACUUUCUAUGCUUGACCUAGGAACAUUUUUAGAAGGAGGCCGUGGAGAGUGCUCUCCAUUUUACAAAGAAGAGAACUGAAAUCCAGAAUUAAAUCCCUUUCAUUUCCUUUAUGAUCAAGUUAGGAGCCUGAGUCCAGUGAAAACUCGCUGCCCCUGACCUCACUAUCUGGCUGUGUAGCUAGAAGAUUCCCAACAUCGAAACCUGCAAAACUGCUGCAUUGCUCUUGGGUGUUCCUAGUUUCACCUCUACAUUUAUGAACUCCUUUCGGUGGCAGGGUAUGUGGCCUCAGGGCCACAGUUCUCUCUCUCCCCCUCUCUACUACUUUUCUUGGUGCUGUGUGGAGCCAGAUUCCAACCCUUGGAACCAGCAGAGGAGCAACUUGGUCUUCAGUCCAGGAGGAAUCAGAACCAAUAAAGAACAAGGGAGAUCUAAGUAGGCAAGAAUACUUUCAAUGGGACAAAGACCAGAGGAGCCAUCAAGGAAGUCAAGUCAGAGGACUCCUGUUGGAAGGUUUCCAUCGUGGGAGCACCUGGGAAGAACAGUGGUGGCCAAGGGGACAGGUGGCCGGACCCUGCCUAAGCCAGUCAUCUCUUCAGGGCUCCCAGCUUUUCAGAGCCUUCUGGGCCUGGGCCAGCUGCUUCUGCAGCCUCUGGUAAGUGCUGCCGCUGCUGGUGCUGGAGAGCCGACAUCACCACCACCCUGAGGCCUGGGGUGUUGUGGAGGGGCAGCACCAUCUGGUCCCCACGGAAGGCCAGAAAGCGGCCAGUGAUGCUGAAGGCCGAGUCAGAGACAUGCUGUCUGUGGACCUGCUCACACCUCUUCUUCCUGUGCCAGUGUUGUAGAGACGAUUGGUGAUGCUGCUGGCCAAGGCCCAGGCCAAGAUGGUGUCAGGGGAGAGUGGCAAGGGACACUGCAUGGUGCUUGCCUUUUGGAAGCAUCCUGUCCUGCUGCUUCUGGCAUUCUGCAUUGGUGUCCCACAGUUCCCACACUCUGUCCUCAGAUACAGAGACCAUCCUCUGGCAGUCGCUGGAGAAGGUGACGGAGUGGACACCUGCAGAGUGGCUCUUCAGUUCAAAAGCUCCUGGAAGUCCCUCUUCUUCCCCACUCAGACUUCCCAGACCUUCACAUCUGGGGUGAGGCCACAAGCCUGGUGCAAGAAGAUGGGGCAGCUUAGGUGGUGUUCAUCUGGUCCGUACUAAGGACACAGCCUGAAUGAGGCACACCUCUGUAGGUGCAAGAGAGGAAGUGCUUAGCUGAGCCACAUGGUAUAUUCUGCAACAGAAGUCUGCAAUGUGUUCUGAAACUGUGUUGCCAAGAACAACUAACUCUGGCUUCAGGAUGACAAGAAAUGUAAGAGAACGUAAAAGUAGGCCCUACAGUAUUUUAAAAAUGUGUUAACUUAAUAAAAAGUAUUUAAGAAAAAGACACCUCUUUCAAAAAUGAGAAGUCAAAAUCCAAG
rnacentral:lncRNA from 1 species